AAUAGGAUGAAUGGAUAUUGUGGUGAGCAGCAUCUGAUUACACAGACGCCAGUAGGCACCGGAGGGGGAAGACGCUCGUUGUCCAACAGCCGAAACUGCUUCUUCAUUCCCCCGUGAGGAAGUCAAACACACUUCACCUGUGAGGGUUUAACUUGAACGUGAAGUACAGCUUCACUGUUUUAACCGAGCGCAGGAACAAAACCCCGCAGCGACGGUUAUCUUGUGAAGGAGAGCGGAGGGCUUCACGGCGGAUCUUCUCAUCGUGUAAAUGGCUGAGGGGGGCCGACGGGUGACAGCGGAGUAAACUUACAAAAUGUCGCAGUUUGUGGAGGCUUAGAAGAGGACCCAAAGUGGCGUGUUUUUAACGAAGAUUCACGCCUGAGUGUUAAUCCGUCUGUCUGACAGGAGAGGCGGUCAGACCGAAGAAGAAGUGCGGCAGCAGCUCCUGCAGGAUUUUGGUUUGUUUCUCCAGUUAGGAGCGAAACAGGCCCGCGGAGACAGAGGCUGUCUUCUGUUUGGACAUCUGUCCGUCUCUGUUUUCGUCUCUGCUAAGUCUUUCUUGUAGCCGCCAUCAUUCCGUGCUGUAAGGCCGACCCCAAAAUGUCUUCCAAUGGAGACCUCAGCGAGGUGGGCAGCUCGGACAGCUUCUGGGAGCCCGGGAACUACAAACGGACGGUGAAGCGGAUAGACGACGGCCACCGGCUGUGUAACGAGCUCGUCAGCUGCUUCCAGGAGAGGGCGAAGAUAGAGAAAAGCUACGCUGUGCAGCUGAGCGACUGGGCCAAGAGGUGGAGGAGCGUGGUGGAGAAAGGUCCUCAGUAUGGUACGCUGGAGAAAGCCUGGCAUGCCUUCAUGCAGGCGGCCGAUCGGCUCAGCGAGCUGCAUCUGGAGCUGCGGGAGCGUCUGGCGGACGAGGACAGCGAGAAGAUGCGCAAAUGGCAGAAGGAAGCUUUCCACAAGCAAAUGAUGGGGGGCUUCAGGGAGACCAAGGAUGCAGACGACGGCUUCCGCAAAGCACAGAAACCCUGGGUCCGCAAGCUGAGAGAGGUGGAGUCCAGUAAGAAGAGCUACCAUCAGGCCAAGAAGGAGGAGUGGACGGCCAUUACCAGGGAAACGCACGCCAAGGCCGACCCGACCAAGUCACAGGAGGAAGUCCGCAAAUACAUGGCCCGGGUGGAGCGCUGCAACCAGGAGGCUGAGAAGGCGAAGGAGCGCUACACGAAGGCCCUGGAGGAGCUGAACCGCUGUAACCCGCGCUACAUGGAGGACAUGGAGCAGGUGUUCGACCUCACCCAGGAGGCCGAACGCAACAGGCUGCGCUUCUUCAAAGAAGUCCUGCUGGACAUCCACACACACCUGGACCUGUCUGCCAAAGAAGGGUUCAGAAGUCUGUACCGGGACCUCGGUCAGACCAUCCAGGUCGCCAGCGACACCGAAGACCUCCGAUGGUGGAGGAACACCCACGGACCGGGCAUGAGCAUGAACUGGCCACAGUUUGAGGAGUGGUCUCCAGAGGCGAGUCGCUCUAUCAGCAGGAAGGAGCGAGGUGGACAAUCUGAGGAAAACGUGGUCACCCUCACCAACAUCGUCUCCUCAGGUGGAGACGAUGUCCCGCCAAGUCCCAUCACCCUGAACACCGACAGGGUUAAAGAUUACUCGUCAGACUGGUCAGACGACGACAGUCCUAAGAAGGUGCUGGCGGUGAACGGCGUGGGGGAGGCGGAGGACGAGGAGGAUCAGGUAGAGGGUGUGCGAGUCCGAGCGCUCUAUGAUUACGCGGGCCAGGAGGAGGAUGAGCUCAGCUUUAAAGCAGGUAUUAACACUUACUAAUGCUUCUGGAGGAGAGGCAUCACAGGGGAGGACUCUGAUGUUUGUGCGAAUGAAAAAUCAAAACUCACAAAACAUCAAGCGCUAAACUUUCUGUGGCGACGUCCAUGGAGAAGCACAAGAUGUUUGCCGUGUCAGCCUCGUGAUGCCUCGUUUUAACACACUCACACACACACACUCACACACACACUCACACACACACUCAUGUCCCUGUCACCGUUUCAGACAUGAGGACUGAUGACCAAAGGCAGUAAGGCUGUGAUGUGAUGAGGACACACACCUGUUGCACCUUACCUGCGUGUCAGCUGCUCGCGAUCAUUUUCACAAACCUUUUCAGAUGUAACACUGCUGAUAACAUGAGACGCCUCUGGAUGCUGAGGAGGUCUGAUUGAAAAUAAAAGCAUUUUGAAUCAGAACAGGUUGAUGCUUUUAUUUUGGUGGAUCUCAAAAUGAAAGACUCGACUUGAUGAAACACUUAAACCGUCUCACUCAGGUGUUCGUGUUGGAACUGAAACCUGUUCUGAGUGGUUUUAUCAGCCUGAAUGUGUUUCAUCCUAAGCUGAGGGAUUAUCAGCAUAAUCCCUCAGGUGUGUUAUUGACUCGUUUGUCAGGUAAGUUUGGUGAAAACCCAGAAUGAUAAAAGACUUCAGCUCAUCAGUGUCAUUUGUUGUUUGGGGAGUCACUUUUUAUAUUCGCUGUAUUCACAUGUAGUAUUGACAGUCAGGUACAGAUUUGUUUUUCUUUUCGGUGCAAGUAAUCUGAAUCAGCUGUUUUUGUUGUCACCAGUUUCUUACUCAGCAGAUUGUGUUUAAAACUUUUUGAUUUUGCUCACGUGGAUUCACCACAGUCUCGACCUUUUUUAGAUGUCACAUGACAGGAAAAAACUGCCAACAGGAAGUCGCAGCAUUUGGUUAUGUUUGAAUCAUUUACCAUUUUGCACAUCAUUUAUUUGCCCAAACAAAGCUGUAAGAGGAGGGAAGACACCUGUAGCAUAUCUCUAACACACCCAGAGUCAAAGACAGAUGUCCUGCCCUGGUGGGACAAUAAGGUCCGUCUGACUUGGACAGAGAAAGACCAGACUCCAAACAGGGAGCCUCUGUGGAGCUUGAGUCCGUCCCCUGUGGGGGGUUGAGCCUCGUGGGGGUUUAGAGAGACGCCGAGUUAAUGGGACCUGAUGGGACCACAGAGCGAGACACCUCAGUUUGGAAAAGCUUAGCUGAGCUCAGCUCUGCUUAGCCUGACACCAGGCGAGGAGCUGCUGAAGAUGGGGGAGGAGGACGAGCAGGGCUGGUGUAAAGGACAGCUGAGCAGCGGCCAGGUCGGCCUCUACCCCGCCAACUACGUCCAGGUGGUCGCUUCCUGACGGGCCGCCCUCUCUGAUCACCCAGCCAAUGGUACAACUACACUCAAGAUGCCAGGACCAAUUAAAAGCUACUAGUGCUGACGUGUAGACGCGCCCUCGUGAAACCGGACAGUUUUUUGGUUACUGACUUUAAAACUCGUCGUCUGUUUGUUGUGUUUUUUUUUUCUGUUGUUUGAGCUGCGUUUUGGGAAAAACCAGCCAGUGGAAAAGUCCACAUGUUGUGAACGGCUGCGUACUCGGCCUGAGGUCAACGGCAUUGUUGUUGAAAGAAGCUUCACAGGCGACGAGAGGCCUGCCAGCAUGAACAGACUGCAGAAAAACACGCACGGAGAUCUGGGACGUCACCCAUCGAUUUCUGUCUCGGUUUUCCACUCGCUUCUGUCAUUUUUAGUCACUAAAGUCAGACAAUCUGCAUUUAAUCAAAGAAUACAAAGCCUGGCGUAGAACUGAGCUGGGAUGAGCAGCAGUGAGCGAACCACCACGCCGGAUUGUGAUUGGCUGAAAUGUUUGUCAGUCAACCAAACGCACCCCAAAUUAUACUUCUUUUUAAAGAAAUAAUUUGGCAUUUUUGAUAAAUACGCUUAUUUGCUUUCAUGCAGUUAGAUGAGAUCGACACCACUGUCACAAACCAUCAGUACAACAGAUUAACUGCCGUUUUAGUAAAUAUGUUUCAUCAAAAGUUGCAAGCUUGUGUACCUAAAAACUUCAAGGUAAAAGUUAAAUGCAGCGUUUUGGUGUGAAGCAUCCAAUUACGAGCAUUAAACUGAUAAGCUAACAGUGGAUAGAAGCUAAAGAUAACAGAGAUAGAGAUAACAAUCCUCCACCGUGAAUGAGUGUACUUCGCAGAAUCUUUUCAGCCUUAGUUUUCACCAUUAUAUAAAUAAACUCAUUGAGAGAAGGCAAAUAAACUUUUUGAAUUUUGAUUGAAAAGUUAGGACUUUUACAGUAGAUUUAGUGGCCAUUAGAGGAACUGCAGCUGGAGGCGCCUCCUCAUCUCCGCUCAGCUGUGUUUGCUGGUAGGGUGAAAACAAAACAAAACAAAAUGAAAAACUGAACAGUGCCUUAGUCAGUGAGGGCAGAAGCGUCACAGCGCCGCCCUGCUGUCUGCCCGAGGAAUAACAGCCGUCUGCUGCUGACCAGCUCCAGUCUGAUCCCAGGAGAAACCAGCAGAUCUGCUGUUACGUGGACUUUAAAUGUUCUUCCUUUGAUUGGCUGUAAACCUUUGCUGCCCCGUCCUGGUUUAGCUCAACGACACUACGCUUCGGUUAAUCUGUAGAUUUUCAGGCAAGACACCCGAUUCACUUCACUUUCUUUCCUUUUUUUUUUUAACGUUUAGUCGUACGUUUAUAUUAAGUCAAGUGUUUUUGAGUGCAGACGUUGCAAACUGUUGCUGUCUGUUCCUUUCUUUCUUUUUUAAAAAUAGUGUUUUUACAGCCAGCUUGUUUGCUUUCUAAUUUAUUUUCCUCUUGUAAUUUAGCAGUCGUUCUUCAGCCCGGACUGACCGAGGCCAGAGAGUAAAGCCGACUGUUAGAUCCUUAUAGCCUGAUGGUUGCUGAUCCCAGCACAGCAAAAGCAACAUGCAAAAGAAGUGCUGAUAUUUUGUGCGGUUUGGGCUUUUCAUGUUUCUGUGUGUGCAGGAGCCUCCACUGUCCUGCUGGUGUUGGCAUCAGUGCAGCUUAACCCGCCUAGGAAUCUGAAUGAUGAUGAUAGAGAAAUUAACGCCGCUGUGCUUCUCCUUUUUAUUCUUUUUCCCUUUUCUUUGCAAAACUGUAACAUGUUCAGCACAUUCAGUGGGAAGCAACAAUAAAGAGCUUUCUGCAUUCUG